AGUGAACGCUGGCGGUAUGCCUAACACAUGCAAGUCGAACGGCAGCACAGUAAGCGCUUGCUCUUACGGUUGGCGAGUGGCGGACGGGUGAGGAAUACAUCGGAAUCUACUUUUUCUUGGGUGAUUACGUAGGGCAACUUACGCUAAUACCUCAUACGUCCUACGGGUUAAAGCAGUGGUUCUUCGCACCUUUCGCGAUUCAUUUAGCCGAUGUCGGAUUAGCUAGUUGGCGGGGUAAAGGCCCACCAAGGCGACGAUCCGUAGCUGGUCUGAGAGGAUGAUCAGCCACACUGGAACUGAGACACGGUCCAGACUCCUACGGGAGGCAGCAGUGGGGAAUAUUGGACAAUGGGCGAAAGCCUGAUGCAGCCAUACCGCGUGAGUGAAGAAGGCCUUCGGGUUGUAAAGCCCUUUUGUUGGGAAAGAAAAGAAGCAGGUUAAUACCUGGAUGUUCUGACGGUACCCAAAGAAUAAGCACCGGCUAACUUCGUG
rnacentral:rRNA from 1 species